CCGUGCUAGAUGGGGAGGUAGCGGUGCCCUGUAACCCGCAAACCGCUAUAGCGGGGUUGAAGUCCCA
rfam:Moorella thermoacetica ATCC 39073, complete genome.